UGUCUCGUUAGCUCAGUUGGUAGAGCAUCUGACUCUUAAUCAGGCGGCCGUAGGUUCGAAUCCUACACGGGACACCAC
rnacentral:tRNA from 1 species